rnacentral:rRNA from 1 species
UACGGGGGGGGCAAGCGUUGUUCGGAAUUACUGGGCGUAAAGGGCUCGUAGGCGGCCAACUAAGUCAGACGUGAAAUCCCCUCGGCUUAACCGGGGAACUGCGUCUGAUACUGGUUGGCUUGAAUCGGGAGAGGGAUGUGGAAUUCCAGGUGUAGCGGUGAAAUUCGAUAGAUAUCGGGAGGAACACCGGUGGCGAAGGCGGCCCCCUGGUUGGAUACUGACGCUGAGACGCGAAAGCGUGGGGAGCAAACAGG